rnacentral:rRNA from 1 species
ACGUAGGGGGCAAGCGUUAUCCGGAUUUACUGGGUGUAAAGGGAGCGUAGACGGUAAUACAAGUCUGAAGUGAAAGCCCGGGGCUCAACCCCGGAACUGCUUUGGAAACUGUAUAACUAGAGUACCGGAGGGGUAAGCGGAAUUCCUAGUGUAGCGGUGAAAUGCGUAGAUAUUAGGAGGAACACCAGUGGCGAAGGCGGCUUACUGGACGGUAACUGACGUUGAGGCUCGAAAGCGUGGGGAGCAAACAG